UGGUGGAGUGAUUUGUCUGGUUAAUUCUGUUAACGAACAAGAUCCCUGCCUGCUAAAUAGUCUGGCGAGUGUUUUACACUGGUUGUGGCUUCUUAGAGGGACGUGCAUUUCAACUAGAUGCAGGAAGAUAGGGGUAAUAACA
rnacentral:rRNA from 1 species